CUUUAUCGUGAACCAACUACUCUUUUUCUCUUAUCUCAAUAUCUAAAAAUCAAGUAGUUAUCUUUUUCUCUUCCAGUUUGACGAUUUCUUCUUCAUUCUCACCGCCGGAGAAUAAAAAUCAUGGUGACUCCACGCUGUAUUCUUCUACAAUGAAAUAGCAAAAGCCGUCGUCUCCUCCAAUUCGACGGAAACACAAUCCGCCGUCAAUUUUUCACCGGUAUUAAUUUCAACUGCCGUUAAUUUCUCAAAAACCACAACGAAUGGUAUGACCUAUCUUCUCUGAUUAUUCGUUGAUAAUCUCCUCAACCCAUGAUUAAAGCGUUAGUUGACACCUAAAUCUUCCUAUGUGUUGCAAAAACCUCCAACAGAAAGUCACCUCUUCACAUUCUCCUAUCCACGAUUACCCAAUCACGUCUCCCCCAACCAUGCCUCGACCAGCCACUACUUUCCCAACCACAUUUCACACAGCCACAGUUCACCCACACGCUAGACGCCUACUCUGGUUUCAACCCCUUCACCCAACCACAUGUUUUCUGUCCACACUACCAUCAACCAUACUUCAUCCCACCACGAUUCACCAGACCACCUUCCAACGCACCAAGCUCCACCAGCCAAAAUAAGACCAAUCCAGCCUUACCACACGUUUCAUGAACAAUGUUUUUCCACAACAAGGAAAGAUAUACACAUUUAUGUCUUCUCUUUUUAGUAGAUUUGUACUUGCUUUAACAUUAGUCAUCCGAUUUGUUUUUACAUCCUUUAAU